UGUUUUUUCUUUUAGUUAUCUCUUUUCAAAAUGGUCGGGCUUUCUAGAUCAGGAGAAAUUUGUUUUAGAUUGGCCUUUGGGUUUCAGAAAAUUCAGAAUAAGUUCCUACACCUGCCAUAACUAGACAAAUCAUGUAUGACACCAUAUGCUUGUACCCAUAUUCCUAGAGUAUUUGCAGCUGUAUUCUUGGUUGUUCAUGCUCAAUCAGGUGAGUCCAUUUUCUCUUUUUUGACAACAAUUUAGAUCUAUAAAUCGGAGAAAGAUAUGCCCAUCAUCAGUGCACUUUUAUUUAAUUGGAGGACAAAUGAGUAGUCAGUUCGCUGAUUAAAUUUGUCUUCAGUUCUAUGCAUAGAUGCAGGUGCGACAACAGUCGCAUCAACUAUUUUUUCUUUUGCAGUUGGGGUGUGCGUCCAUAUGGGUUAAACAGUUAAGAAUAUUUAAUUUGUAGCCUAACAAUACUUUUGUUAAUAGUUGCCAACUAAAAGGUGAUCUAUUUGUGCUAAUAGUGGCCAAAUAAAAGAGGAUGCAGAUAUCAUGAGUUCAUAUUGUACAUAAAUAUAUUUUUGCUAGCAAUAUUCUCUCUUUUCUUAGUAUUUAAUAUUGAUAACAGUUCCUGAAUUAAUCUGUGAUUACCAUUCCCCCUUGGAGAACAAUCGGAUUUUCAUGUUCUUCUAUUUUUAGGAAUGGGGACUCUAAAAUGGAUGGAGGAGGAGCUACAGUUCAUCAGCCAAAUACAGCAGGCAUGUUGUGUAUACAGUUUGCAAGGCACUAUUCGUUUCUUAUACUUAAAUAGCUUAGUCAGCACAACUAUAUCAUUUUGCAAUACUUAAUGGAAGCACUUUUCUUAACUUUCUUCCAUGCUUCUCAUUAUUGUUUGUGUGAUCCUAUCUCUACUGAACUUGUUGCAUAUGGUACCUGAUGCUUCAUCUUGUUGCAGUGCUGAUUCUAUAUCUCGAGCAAAGCAGAUUCUUACCUCGAUACAUGGAAGAGCAAGAGGAGCAUACAGCCAUAGCCAUGUACUCGUGUCAUUGACAAAUCAUUGGUAAAAAGGCCAGCUUGGGUGAUAUGAAACAGAGGCACCUUUAAACAAAACAUUCCUUUGUCAUGACACGAGUACAGGCUAUGGUUGUAUGCUCCACUUGCUCUUCCAGGUAUCAAGGUAAGAAUCUGCUUUGCUUGAGAUACAAAAUCAACACUGCAACAAGAUGAAGCAUCAGGUACCAUAUGUAACAAGUUCAGUAGAGAUAGGAUCACAUGAACAAUAAUGAGAAGCAUGGAAGAAAGUUAAGAAAAGUGCUUCCAUUAAGUAUUGCAAUAUGAUAUAGUUGUGGUGACUAAUCUAUUUAAGUGUAAGAAAUGAACAGUGCCUUGCAAACUGUAUACACAACAUGCUUGUUGUAUUUGGCUGCUGAACUAUAGCUCCUCCUCCAUCCAUUUUAGAGUCCCCAUUCCUAAAAAUAGAAGAACAUGAAAAUCUGAUUGUUCUCCAAGGGGGAGUGGUAAUCACAGAUUAAGUUAGGAACUGUUAUCAAUAUAAAAUAUUAAGAAAAGAGAGAAUAUUGCUAGCAAAAAAUAUUUAUGUACAAUAUGAACUCAUGAUAUCUGCAUCCUCUUUUAUUUGGCCAUUAUUAGCACAAAUAGAUCACCUUUUAGUUGGCAACUAUUAACAAAAGUAUUGUUAGGCUACAAAUUAAAUAUUCUUCACUGUUUAACCCAUAUGGACGCACACCCCAACUGCAAAAGAAAAAAUAGUUGAUGCGACUGUUGUCGCACCUGCAUCUAUGCAUAGAACUGAAGACAAAUUUAAUCAGCGAACUGACUACUCAUUUGUCCUCAAACUAAACAAAAGUGCACUGAUGAUGAGCAUAUCUUUCCCUAAUUGAUGGGUUCAAAUUGUUGUCAAAAAAGAGAAAAUAGACUCACCUGAUUGAGCAUGAACGACAAAGAACACAUCUGCAAAUACUCUAGGAAUAUGGGCACAAGCAUAUGGUGUCGUACAUGAUUUGUCUAGUUACGGCAGGUGUAGGAACUUAUUUUGGAUUUUCUGAAACCCAAAGGCCAAUCUAAAACAAAUUUCUCCUGAUCUAGAAAACCCAACUAUUUUGAAAAGAGAUAACUAAAAGAAAAAAACGCAUAUGUAUCAGUACAGAGGGUGUUCUGUUUACAAUUACACACGAAAAAUAUAGUGCUACAUCAAUGUAAUAGCAUCUAUGACAGACCAUAUAGAAACGGAAAUAAUAAAGAUGCAUAAAGGAAGAUGGAGGGCGGGAGAGAGAGAGAGAGAGAGAGAGUUUCUGUUAAAAAUUUGCCAUACACCUUGCACUCAGUAUUGCAACAUUUAUAUAAAAAAUCAUCAUAAUAAAGAUAUUUCAAGCCCAAUACCAAGAAAGUAGAAUCACGAGGUACCCUAUUCAAGAGCAAAAUAACAGAAUCAGGCACAACACCAACAUACUCUUUUGUUUAUAUGCAAUAAUUUUCGUAAUCAAGAUACUCUAGUCCCUUCUUAUGGUAACACAAUUGCGGCCUUGUUUUAUUUAGAUAAAUGUUAUUACUCUUUUGUAUCUGAGAGUUCUGGCCCAAAUCUGUCAAAUUGGGCAAUGAACAAAGCCAGAUAAUGAUGAAAUCUUGGCUAUUGGAAUCGAACAAUCAAUCCACACAAAGGUCUUGGUACAUGGAGAGCAAACCUGUGUUAUCCCUCCAAGACAUCUUUGUACACGAUGUUCUUGGUGCUUUUACCCGUUUGAUCUAUUUCUUUAUUUGGCUUUUCCAGAACCCGAGUUGUAUGCCUUGAAACACCCCUUGAUAGUGCAACAUAAAGCUGGCCGUGCGAGAAUACAGGCCGCGGAAGGUUAAUGCCAACAAUUGGGAUGGUUUGCGCCUAGGCUUUGUUUAUGGUCACAGCAAAACUCAGACAAAUAGAGAAUUGUUUCCUCUUCAACUUGAAAGGAAGUGAAAUAUCCUCCGAGGGUGCCAUCGGGAUCCUAGGGAUGAACACUCUCUUUCUAGCAUGUCGUCCACCAACAAUCUAGGCAUUGAUUGUGUUAUUUUGGAAAGCUCUAAUCAUCAAUCUCGUCACAUUGCAAAGUACGUUAUUAGGAUCGAGAUUUCAGAGCAGAAUGACAGGAAAAUUGACUUUAACUUUUAAAAUAUGGGGAGGCAAGUCAUUUGGAGUGAGGUUGUUCAGAUAGUCAAUUGGGUAGUUAUUGUGUGUAUCAUCAUCGAUGGAAUCAAAGCUAUAGUAUAUCUUUUCUUGGCCGGGAAACCUAUGAAUCAUAUUUGCGUGUAGAUUGUCCACGUGCUCAUUCUUGGUAGAAAGAAUAUCACGUGUGCUCAUGUAGGCAACGGAUGAUGCAUUCUCAUGAAGAGAUGGGAACACGUGUUCAACAAGCUUCAUGACUGGUGCGUCACCAGGUGUGUAACCUAUCACAAUGUCAUCAGGCAGACGCACAUAAUCAUCACCGAUCGUCUCCUCCAGUCCAUUGCCAAUUCUCAAGAGGUAUUUGGAGAACCAUGGGUCAGUCUGUGGUCUCAUGUUACGUGUGAGGCAUAUUUGUCUAAUUUUCUCCCAUAGAUAUGAUCUUUGCAGCGUGGCGUCAGUGAUUUGUGCUCUUGUCCUACACGGGACCACAGGAAGGACCUCCCUAGAAUUCCCUUCAAACACCACAACCUUUCCCCCAGAUGGCAUAACACAUCCCAUGGUAUACUUUAGUGACCUAUCCAAUGCCUCAACUGCUUGACACUUCAUCAUGGCAACCUCAUCCCAGAUUACCAGAGAUGCUCUCUGAAGCAACUCUGCAGUACCACUCUGCUUGGUGAAGCUGUAGAUGCAUUAUCCAUGAGUUUGAUCCGAAUUUCGAACAUGGAAUGGGUGGUACGUCCAUCAGGCAUGAUUGAUGCGGCUAUUCCGGAUGUCGUAGUUGCAAUAGCUAUUUUCCCUAAUGAACGCACUUUAGCAAGAAACACCUUGUAGAGAUAAGUCUUCCUCGUGCCACCAUCAACAAAGAAAACAUGUUUCCUGUUGUUCACCACGUGAUCCAAGAUUUCCUCAAAGCCAGCCCUCUGCUCAAUGUUCAGGGAUGUAUACAGAUCUAAAUGCUCUCGUUCCACAUCGACUGACAACUCAUCUUGAACCUCCCUUGGGAGGUCGCCAGAACCAUCACAGGCCUCGACCAGCUUCGGGAGGCCAUAGCGUUUAAUAUCUUUGCCCAUCGAAUGCACCAAGUCUCGGAUGUCUCUAAGGACCAUCUGUUCCAGCGCAGCCUGGUUGGACUGGGUACGACGGUAAUCCUAAGACAUUGACUCCAGAUGCUUCUCCCAUAAUGCAUGGAUUUUGGUUGCCUCGCAGAACACAAGAAUAGUUGCAAAAAGCCUUCUUAGAGCAUAGGCCAUUUGGAAAGUAGCAGACUCAGUCAAGCUGUCAUCUAGAGAUUUGUCUGUCUCUAUUAGGCCCAUGAGCUCAGAUGCUUUCCUGAAGGUUGAGCAAAGCCUUCCAUUUACAGUUCUCAAAUCCUCAUGUGAAGUGGCACCUCUUCUAUGAUUCAUAAGCACUCUCAGGAAGUACCUCUCACCAUCAGCUGGGUGUGCAUAAAAAAUACUUCCAACUUGUCCCCAGCCCCUUUGGCUUCUUUUUUGCCACUUUUUCUUACCCUUAAUCCAUCGAAAGAAUUCUAGGAACUCUUUAUACAAGAAGUGCGUGCAUAAGGGUCCACCUCAUUCAUUCUAAAGUAUUCUGUGAGCAUGGUUUUGGAAGAGGACGGUCGGUUCAUGACAUCCUCUAGGUUAUCAGUAUAGUUGAAUGCAACAGUAUGCAUGUUCGGCAAAUGCAGUUGUAGUUGCAACACAGCAGGAGAGACGCCAAACAUACAGAAAGCACAUACCAUGUACAAGAGUCUGGUAGUGUUACAAACCUUGCAUGCCUGUAUUGUCGAAUCUCAUUUAUCACACCACCAUCAGUUGCUGUCGGGUCAGUCGAGGAAGAAGCACGAUCAUGCCCCUUGUAUAUGUACUUGUACAAAUAUUUGACUGCAUUUAUGCUCGAGCAAGCUUCAACAUUAAUGUGACAAUUAUAUUUCAUAAGCAGUCUGGUGUUGUGCGGGACAACCCAUCUGUUGUCCAACACUGCAUUCCUAACUUUUACUCGGCAGCCAUCAUCCCUUCUCCUAUAUAUAGCGUAUGAGUCCUUUCCUUGUUGUGUUGCAGGGCAAAACUGUCGAGGGUAACAAAAACGACAAUUUCAAUAUAUCAUGCAAUGACAAUUCUUCUAGAGAGUAACACAUGGGCCGUGGAGCAUAUGCUUGAUAACUAGUCCAUGCAACACAAGAUACUUCUCACAGCUAUGGAUCUCUGCCGAGAUUACCCUAUCAUAGGUGUCUAGAUUUGUUAGCUUACUAUCUGAGGCCAUGAUCAGCAGAAAGUGUUCAUGCGGCAGACCCUUUUUUGGAACUCGGUAACAUGAUGAUAGCCGCAACCAGACCAAAGUACUUAUUUUUUAUCAUAAGAUCUUUCAGACUCCGCACCUUUCCCUGUAUACUCUGGCCACCAGGUCAUGACGGCCUUGUGGUGUUUGUCCGGGUGCAAGUCUCAAAGUUAUCUCCUCCCAGUAAGGGUUGCAAGUCAUAGUGAUUAAGUAAUCAGGUUAUCCGUAUAUUUGGACGACGGCCAUCGCAUCAAGGAAUCUUCGUUGCAUGUCUCGAUCACCUCCCAGAAAUGUCCUAGGGAGCAUGAUUCUUUUUCCAACCUGAUCAGCAUGCGUCUCUCUAGAAGCAAUGGUGUCAACCACACCCUAUGAAACAAAUGAAUCACGCUCAUAAUUGGUACUUGCUUUUAGAAUACAAGCAUGAUGAUAACCAACAAGACUAUACAUUAGGAUCAUAAUUGGUUAAUGUUUAAUUCUAGUUAUUCAGUAACAUACAUGAGGUUGGGGAGAUUUUUGUUACCUGGUAGAGCUCAGCAUGUAUGAGGUUUUAAUUCUGAGGCUUCGAGUAGAAAUCAAGCCUCAUAGUCUCCAUUUUGAUGUACAGGGCAACAAGCCACUGUUGGAGAAGACGCCCUCAAUCAAUAGGAUGUUAAAAAUUCCUUCCCUAAUUUGCGACUCGAAACAGUAAUACUUCCUUGCACUGACAUAUUUUCUAGACUCAGUGGCUUCAUCCUCAUCUUGUUCUUUGUUGUCAUCUACAAGAUGGUUGCAACAAUGAAUUAUUAAUAAUGUCACUACUAAAGAUUAGAGGAAUUCAUGGAUGGGUCACCAAUUGUUACGACACCUUUACCUGCUUCUCAUUCAUUGUCCUGGUUGUCAUUCAUCCUCAAUGCCUACCUGAGCGGGAGUUAGUCCCUCAUAUGGCAGCCAAUGGUUCCAUCUUGUCACCCCAAUCAAGUAAAAUAAUGGGUACGCUAAAGGAUCAUAGCAUCCACAGUAGGCUCUGAUGUACAAAGGUCGGUCCCCUUUUGCAUGCACUAUAAUUCUUCUAUCGAAAGUGUGUUGCAGGUAGCUACCUUCCACCCACAUUGCAGCCACCUGAGAAGUUGUAGGGGCAUUGUACCUCCGCUGGUCCAAUUUUAUAUUUAUGUUCAGUGUAAUUUUAUAUUCCGAUAGGUUGGGAACUGAACCAAGCCUUGUAAAAGUAUCGACAUACGGGUUGUUCUCCAGUAUACGUAGAAUCUUGCGUAUGAGGUUGAUAUCUAGAUCUCAAGAAUGUUUCACCCUAUGUUCCAAGGCUCGUCUGUAACAUAAAUAUACAGAUGCAAAUGCCUGGGUCCGUGAUCGCCUGGUACAAGAUGGUCUAGAUGGUGGUACAACUGACCGUGAGCACGAAAGGUGUAUACACAGGUUCUUGCCGUAGUGUUGACCCGAUUGUCAAGGGUAAGUCCAAGGCUUUGUGGAGAGGUGGGAGUUUAAAUAUCGAAUGUGUUGUCUAAAGUACUUUGCAUCCAUGUCGAACUGACUUGUAAAUAAUCGUUGUAGCUCUUGAGGAACCUCUGGGAUAAAUACCUUGACCUUACUGAAAGGAUCGAUAUAGUUGACUAGAGGGGGGGUGAAUAGGCAACUAGCAAUUUUUAGCUUUUCUUUACCAAAUUAAACUUUGCAUCAAAGUAGGUUGUCUAGAUAUCCAACUAAGUGAACAACCUAUAUGAUGCACCAACAACAAGCACACAAGCAAGCAAGGAAUAUAACACAAGUAAGCUUGCAAAGGUAAAGGUACGAGGUAACCAAGAGUGGAGCCGGUGAAGACGAGGAUGUGUUACCGAAGUUCCUUCCUUUUGAGGGGAAGUACGUCUCCUCUAGAGCGGUGUGGAGGCACAAUGCUCCCCAAGAAGCCACUAGGGCCAACGUAUUCUCCUCACGCCCUCACAAUGCGAGAUGCCAUGAUUCCACUAUUGGUGCCCUUGAAGGCGGCGACCAGACCUUUACAAACAAGGUUGGGGCAAUCUCCACAACUUAAUUGGAGGCUCCCAACGACACCACGAAGCUUCACCACAAUGGACUAUGGCUCCGACGAGACCUCAAUAGUCUAGGGUGCUCAAACACCCAAGAGUAACAAGAUCCGCUAGGGAUUAGUGGGGGGAAUCAAAUUUCUCUUGGUGGAAGUGUAGAUCGGGGCCUUCUCAACCAAUCCCGAGCAAAUCAACAAGUUUGAUUGGCUAGGGAGAGAGAUCAGGCGAAAAUGGAGCUUGGAGCAACAAUGGAGCUUAGGGAUGGAAGAGGUAAGUCUUCUUGGAGAAGAAGACCCCCUUAUAUAGUGGGGGAACAAUUCCAACCGUUACCCACCACUCAGCCCGCGACCCGCGGUACUACCGCACCACUGGAGCGGUACUACCGCUCGGGCCUGCGGUACUACCACGGCGGACCGCGGUACUAUCGUGGGCGCGGCAGAGCCUAGACCUGAACAGAAGAGCACAGACAGGGCGCGUAGAACCGCAGGCGCGGUACUACCGCGACCCUAUGGGUACUACCGCAAGGCAGUCGCAGUCCAGACACGCUAGGCACAGAUGUAAAAAAUUACACCCGUGACUACCUCCACUGAGAUUUUAUCGAUGCGAAAAUCCGACAUGGUACUACCGCGAACCAGGGGUGCGGUACUACCGUGAAGGGUGCGGAUGUAAAAAAUUACAUCCGCCCCUACCUCCGCUCCUGCUGCUAUACCUGGCCAGGCGACACGGUACUACCGCGCCGCAGCACGGUACUACCACGUAGGGCGCGGAUGUAAAAAAUUACAUCCGCCCCUACUACCGCUUGUGCAACAGCGCCAGGCCAGAACUCACGGUACUACCUCUUAGGAGGAGCGGUACUACCAUGGAGGCCCAUGGUACUACCGUGCCGGAGCCCGGUACUACCGCUGGCUCCUGUGGUAGUACCGCUCUGAGGAGCAGUACUACCGCCAGCCUGAGAACAGCAACUCGGAGUCCUUCAUUUCACAGAGACAAGGUGAGAUGGAGGAAACUCCAAAGAGACAAAGGAAAGGAGGUGCAAAAGGGACGUGUACGUGAGAUUCCACCCAAACCUUUCCAAAGCGGACCCCCUCUUAAUAGUACGGCUUUCCUACGACUCAACUCCACCGAAAAGAACCGUAGAGAAACGUCGUCUUAGAUAAUCUUCGAGGGGUAUCAAAUCGUCUUGUGUUUUGUCAUGAUAUACCUGAAAAGCUCAAUACACACGAUUAGUCCACAAAAGCAUUGUCAUCAAUCACCAAAACUACUAAGGGACAAGAAUGCCCUUACAAUCUCCCCCUUUUUGGUGGAUUGAUGACAAUACAGGAUUUGCACAAAGGGAAAGAAUAUAGCACAAGCAAACCCCACAUCUCUAGAAUAUAGACGAGCUCCCCCUAGAUUCGUGCUAGAGAGUAAAGUGCUUUGGACUGCACGGCACGAAUACUAGGAUCACCACUCCCCCUAUAUUUUAGAAACAAAGCAUAUCUUGCAAUGAUAAGGAUAACACUAAACAAGAUAGUAAAUAUGAGCAAAACAUAAAUAGCACGAUAUAUCAUAAGCUCAAUAAGGUAAUAAGGUACGAUAGAGUGCAUAUGUCUUACGCCAUAUGAUAAACUUAGUCUUACGAGCACAACCAAAGCAAACAAGUUCAACAGACGGAAAGCAAAGCGAACGGCGAAACACACGACACACGACACGCAAAUCCUACACUCUCUCCCCCUUUGGCAUCCAGACACCAAAAAGGCAGAGAGGGCACCUACAACAAAGGUGGUAGCUCAGGCGAAAAAUGAAUCCUCGUCGCCAGACUCCGCAGCAGGAAUGUACUCCUCCUCAGAAUCGGUCCACUUGUAGCCCUGCUUAGCCAUCCAGGCAGCCUCGGGGGUGAUGUGCUUCUCAGAGCCGCUAGCCACGUCCUCGCCGCACGCCCUCAAGAUCCUGAUGUUGCGACGGCGACCCUCCUUCUAAGCAACAUUGGCCUUGUAUUGACCCUAGAACUGCAUGCAGAAAAGCCUCUUCAUCUUGAUCUUCAGCUUCUUCGCCCAAGAGGGCUCAGCAGAGGGAGUAGUGAAAGCAGAACGGUCCUCAACAGCUUCUUCCUCCUCAAUCUCCUCCUCAUCCACAGCCAUCCUGGCAGCCUCAGCAGAAGUGGUGGUGUUAGCCCAUUGGGGCUUGAUGCGGAGCCUGAUGGGCUCAUGACGAAUCCAGCCUGGAGCUUCAAAGUCAUCAUUGGGAAAGAGCUUCUCCCAAGUCUUGGAGAUCAGGUGAAACAGGUAUGGCCCAUACAUGGGGACCUUACGGUUGAACAUGGCGAACUGAAGCUCACACCACAUGAUAUGUGAGACAUCAAGUGGCUGAGCCUGAGCCUGACGGGCCUACUCACAAAGGAGCAUCAUGUCAAUGAGGUAAGCAUGCACCUGUCCCAUGUCACCAAUGCACGGUAAAAGGGUGUUCCGAAAGAGCCGGUGCAUGAUUUCAAGGAAGGGGUUAAGCACCCACACCUUCUUCUUGCUGGGAAGUGUCUUCUGAACAAGGAAUGGCAUGAGCUUGUUCUUGUUGGCAGACUUAGAGUUGGCAUGAGGGCGAACUCCAACUGGCGUGUCGAGCAUUUCAUCUGGAACGUGAAGCAACUCCAUGAACUCCUUCCAUGUAGCAGACAUCCGUUGACCAUUGGUCAUCCAAGUCAUGGUCCUUGCUUCAUUGAUGCCGAACUAGACCGAAGCAAAGAACUAUGCUAUGAUCUCUGGAUCAAAAUCCUUGUGGAAGGUGAGCAUGUCCUCAAUGCCGAACUGCUCCACUAGAUCCAAGGCCUCUCCAAAGUACCCACGGUGCUUGUCCUGCCUCAUAUGAUGCCUGUCAAUCCAGUGAACUUCCACGUAGAGGUUCUGCUUGGCCUUGAUCACAUCCAGGUAGAUCAGAUUCUGCUGCUUGGUCCAGAAGAGAUCAUUGCCUCGCAAGUUAGCCCGGGGAGUCACAUAGGGAUUGAGUUUCCUUCAAAUGACAAACUCGGCCUGGGGCAUCUCAUCCAUGCCCAUGACGGGCUCCUUCUGCUUGUUGGCGAUGUGCUUGGUCCUGCGUUGGGAAGCAGAUGAUCCCUCUGGAGCUUCAUCUGGGUUGCGCAGCCGCUUUGACCCUGUGUCACGGCUGGGAUUCGAGCAACAAGCAAGAGAACCGGAGCCACCACCUAGACACAAAACACAAGAACACGCAUGGGAAACAAGACGGAUCAAUGCAAAAGACAAAGGCCAAAACCGAAGGAAACAAAUAAGCACGAGAUCUGGACAGAAAAAGAGCGUUGGACAAAUCUACGGUAGUACCGGGCCGGUGUACGGAUGUAAAAAAUUACAUCCGCUCCAGCCGCGGUAGUACCGUGCUGGGGUGGCACGGUAGUACUGCGCCUGGGGCGGAAGUAAUUUUUUACUUCCAGGCGCCAAGCGGUAGUACCGCACCAAGGUGCAGAAGUGCCGCAUGGCGCCACAUACAGGCGAGGCUGCGGUAGUACCGCUCCAGGAGGAGUGGUAGUACCGCGCGGAUCGAAAACCGCGACAAGAGUCGCGGUGGCUCUAGAACCACCGCACGACUACACCUGUACUACCGUUGAUCAACCGGAACUAUUUUGACUAUCCAAAGAGCAUGCUUACUAAACUACCACGCUCCUACGAAUCCCACUUGCACAGAUUUAGCCAAAAAUCUCAAGAACACCACAUGCAUCUCCCCAAGACCUAAAAGCACACGGAAGCACGAAAAAGGAGAGGAACUUGGGGGGAAAACCUUGGUCCAUGGCAAGAGGGCGAGGUGGGGAACGAUCCCACCGGUCGGAAUCCGAGGAGAGUGGCCGGAGACGAAGAUCCGGCGAAGGCCUCUGGCGCCGUUCUUGGGCAGGAGAGAGAGAGAUGGGGUGGGGAAUAGAGAUGAAUGGGUAUGGGGGAGUUAGAACUCCCCCUGUCCCGAUCUUAACCCCCACCCGCUCGCGUGGGCGCGGAAGUACCAUGGGUCAUCGCGGUAGUACCGCCCGGGCGGAAGUACCACGCGCAGGGCGGUAGUACCGCUCUUUCAGCGGCAGUAAAAAAUUACUGCCGCGAUGGUAGCGGUAGUAUCGUGCCCCUGGGAGGCAACUGAGCAAGCGCAGAGCCACCAACUCCUUCGGUAGUACCGUGGCUCGCCACGGUAGUACCGUAACCCAAGAAAGUGCAAGUUCCACACGAGAGAAAGAGAGCAAAUGCAAUACAACCUUCGGAAACACCGAACAACUAAGAAGCGAACACAAACGACGACACAAACACGGCACAGAGAAGAGGAAAGCACAAGACAACGAAGACUAACCACGAGACACACCUCUCCAAGGAGAGGGCGGUGGCCGGAGCCACCUAUGUUUGAGUCAAUUGGUAUGGCACCACGAAGAAUUAUCCUUGGGCCCAUGACCAAAACUCGUCUUUGAAGCACAAGUACCAUAAAAAAUGGCUAAUGUGAAAGAGUUGAUCAAUUUAUGCAUAAUGGGGGGAGGGAGAGUUCAUUGAGAGAACAACACUCCCCCUAUAUCCAUGCCUACACCUAAACUAGACAACAAGUUGAGUGUGGUGGGAUGUGCAAGGGUUCAAGUCACAUUGCUCGAAUCAAUGAUAUUUAGCUCAUGCCUUAACUCGUGAAAUCUUGCUUCAUCCAAGGGCUUCGUGAAAAUAUCUGCAAGGUUAUUAUGAGUAUUGACAUACUGGAGCUCGAUCUCCCCUCGCCUAAUAUGAUCCCGGAUGAAGUGAUACUGAAUCUCAAUAUGCUUCGUCUUGAAGUAUUGCACCGGAUUGAGAGAAAUCUUGAUGGCACUUUCAUUGUCACACCAAAGAGGCACUUUGUCACAAAUGACACCGUAAUCCUUUAAAGUUUGCCUCAUCCAUAAGAGUUGUGCACAACAACUACCGGCCGCCACAUAUUCCGCUUCGGUGGACAAGAGAGACACACAACUUUGCUUCUUGGAAGACCAACUUACCAAAGAGCAACCCAGAAAUUGGCACCCUCCGGAAGUGGACUUCCUAUCCACUUUGUCUCCCGCCCAAUCAGAAUCCGAAUAUCCUUCAAGCUUGAAGUUUGCUCCUCUUGGGUACCAUAAGCCAAAGUUUGGGGUAUGAGCCAAAUAUCGAAAGAUUCAUUUGACCGCCACAUAGUGGCUUUCCUUCGGUGCAGCUUGAAACCGUGCACAUAUUCCCACACUCAACAUGAUAUCCGGUCUAGAUGCACAAAGGUAAAGCAAGGAGCCAAUCAUGGAGCGAUAUACCUUUUGAUCCACCGCUUUACCAUUGGGAUCAAUGUCAAGUUGGCACUUGGUAGGCAUUGGAGUAGAGGCCGGUUUGACAUCACUUAGCUUGAAUCUUUUGAGCAUGUCUUGAGUGUAUUUGGCUUGGUUGAUGAAGGUACCUCCUCUUCCUUGCUUGAUAUCAAAACCAAGGAAGAACUUCAACUCUCCCAUCGAAGACAUCUUGAACUUAGAGGUCAUGAGAGCGGAAAAUUCCUCAUUGAAAGCUUUGUUAGGGGAACCAAAGAUAAUAUCAUCAACAUAUAGUUGUCAUACAAACAACCCCCCUUUGACCUUCUUAUUAAAAAGAGUGGGAUCGAUUUGCCCAACCUCAAAUCCAUGAUCUUGUAACAACUCGGUAAGGUGGUCAUACCACGCACGUGGGGCUUGCUUAAGGCCAUAGAGUGCCUUAUUGAGUUGAUACACAUGAUCCGGGAAGUAGGGAUCCUCGAACCCCGGGGGUUGCUUGACAUACACCAACUCAUUAAUAGAACCAUUAAGAAAAGCACUCUUCACAUCCAUUUGUUGUAACUUAAAGUUAUGAUGGGAAGCAUAAGAAAUCAACAAACGAAUGGAUUCAAGGCGAGCAACGGGAGCAAAGGUUUCACCAUAGUCGAUACCCUUGACCUGGGAGUAGCCUUGUGCUACCAAUCUUGCCUUGUUGCGAAUGAUGUUCCUAUGAGCAUCUUGCUUGUUCUUGAAUAUCCACUUGGUUCUAAUGACGUUGUGGUUCCCCGACGGUCUUGGCACCAAUCUCCACACCUUGUUGUACUCGAAGUUGUUGAGUUCUUCAUGCAUGGCAUUGAGCCAAUCCGAAUCUUCGAGCGCCUCAUAGACCUUUUGGGGUUCAACACAAGAGACAAACGCGUGAUGUUCACAAUAGUUUGCUAAUUGUCUACGAGUGCUUACCCCCUUUCUUAGGCUUCCAACCACGUUCUCCAUGAGAUGACCUUGGGUGGUGAGCUUGGAAGCAAUCUUCAUGGCACAACGCUCUAAUUCCUCCUCAGAUGUGGAAGGAGGAGGAUUAACUUGAUUAUCCUGAGCGCCGUCAUGAGCUUGUUCUAGACCUUGAGCUUGCUCUUGAUCUUGAACUUGCUCGAGGGGGAGAACUUGGCCUUGGGCAUCAUUUGGUGGUUCACCACCAUCUUGAGGUUGAUCUUGCCCUUGGUCUUGUUCACGAGGUUGAGGGCCUUCACUUUGUUCUUCGGAAGCGUGUGGGUCUUGGGGAGGUGAUGGCUCCACUUGAGUGGAGCAUUGUCCUUCUCCUUCGGCCAAGGGGUUCCUCAAUGGGUAGAAUAUGACCAAUACCCAUUCUUCUUAUGGCUUGGGGAGGAAUUUCAUCACCUACAUCACAAGUACCACUUUGCUCCACUUGGGAGCCGUUAUUUUCGUCAAACUCCACGUUACACGUCUCCUCAAUGAGUCUGGUGGACUUAUUGAGGACACGGUAAGCAUGAGUGUUUGUAGCAUAACCAACAAAUAUGCCCUCAUAAGCUCUAGCCUCAAAUUUAGACAAGCGAACACCUUUCUUGAGAAUGAAACACUUACACCCGAACACCCGGAAUUACUUGAGGUUGGGCUUGUUACCGGUAAGUAUUUCAUAAGGAGUCUUGUUCAAGCCUUUGUGGAGAUAGAGCCGAUUGGAUGCAUGACAUGCUGUGUUGAUGGCUUCAACCCAAAAGUUGUAUGGAGACUUGAACUCCGCCAUCAUGGUCCUUGCCCCAUCCAUCAACGUCCGGUUCUUCCUCUCUGCGACACCAUUUUGUUGAGGGGUAUAUGGUGCAGCAUAUUGAUGCUUGAUCCCCUCAUCACUAAGAAACUCAUCCAAGGUGUAGUUCUUGAACUCGGUGUCGUUGUCACUUCUUAUUGUCAAGAUCUUUGCAUCAUGUUGACGUUGAGCUUCAUUUGCAAAGUCGAUGACGGUUCGUUGAGUCUCACUCUUCCUCUUGAAGAAGUAUACCCAAGUGUAUCUUGAAUAAUCAUCCACAAUCACCAAGCAAUACUUUCUACCUCCAAGACUAUCAAAGGAUGGAGGCCCAAAGAGAUCCAUGUGAAGGAGCUCCAAGGGUCUCUUCGAGUAGAUGAUAGUCGUGGGAGGGUGAGCCUUCUCAUGAAGCUUACCUUCAAUACAAGCACUGCAAGCAUGAUCUUUGGCAAAACUAACAUUUGUUAGUCCACGGACAUGGUCCCCCUUGAGAAGACUUUGCCAAGAUCUCAUAUUGACGUGGGCUAAACGACGAUGCCAAAGCCAUCCCACAUCAACUUUAGCCAUUAGGCAUGUCGCGGUCUUAGUGGGUCGCUCCAAAAAGUUAAUCACAUAAAGACCGUUCUUGACAUGCCCAACAAAGGCUACUUUAAGAGUCUUGCUCCACAAGAGGGCCACGGUAUCAAUAUCAAAGAAAGUGGCAAAGCCCAUGAGUGCAAGUUGACGAACGAAAAGAAGAUUGAAUGCAAGGGACUCAACAAGCAUGACUUUCUCGACUAUUAGAUCAUGAGAAAUGACAACCUUGCCAAGACCCAAUACCUUAGAAGACGAGGCAUCACCCCACUCGACAUUGGUGGGCAUAGAAGGAAUCUUGUGCACGUCCACCACCAAGUCCUUGCUUCCGGUCAUAUGAUUCGUUGCUCCACUAUCGAGCAACCAUGAUCCCCCACCAGAAGCAAACACCUACACGAGAUCAAUGCUUGGUUUUAGGUACCCAUUUUGUAAUGGGUCCUUUGAUGUUAGUAACAAGGGUCUUAGGAACCCAAAUAUACCAUUCAAUGUACUCAUAAGGAGAACCAACAAAUUUAGCAUAAACAUGCCCAUCACUAGCACGGCACAACACAUAAGAAGGGUUAAAGUUGUCGGCUUUGUUGGAAGAGGUGGUUUUGCCCUUUUUGACAUCACCACCCUUCACAUUGUUCUUCUUCUCCUUAGGAGCACCCUCUCCCUCUUUCACAAAAGUUUUCUUGAGAGGAGGAGAUCGUUUGGUCUUGUCGUUCUUCUUCUUGUUCUUGGAAUUGGGUGCGAACCCAAUUCCCUCCUUGGCCACAACUUCCUUUUGAUUGCUCAAAAGGUCGUUGAGGUUCUUCUCACCAUGAAUGCAUGUCACAAGGCCUUUAUCAAGUUGAUCCUUCAACUUGGCAUUCUCCUCCACAAGAUGCACAUGCUCACAACACGGGUUAGUGGCAUAUGCUUUAUCAAUUAAUACCAUAUGAGGAAAGGUGGCCUUUUCCUUGGUUAGCUUAACUUGGAGUUGAGCAUAAGACUCCUUGAGGUUAGCAUGAGCACCCUUCAAGACCUUGUGGGCCUUGUCAAGUAAAUCAAACUCCUCCUUGGGUCUAGCAUGAUUAACACCAAGUUUAGCCUUCUCGGAAGUUAGCACACGAGACACAACAAGAGCAUGAUCAAGAUCAUUCUUUAACUUAGCAUGGUCAUUGUUGUGUGACUCCUCAAGAGCCAAACGAUGUCCACGCUCUUCCUCAAGAGCAUUAGAGAGAUCCGAUAUCUCACCGGCAUAGUCACGACUAUGACCUUCCAUCUUAGAGAUGGUUUCUUUGUGAGCCUCGAUCAUGUCAUUGGCUUCACCAAGUUGUUCCAAGAGAGCAACAAAGUGCUUCUUGGAUUUGCCCUUGAGUUUACUCAUAAAAGACUCAAAUUCAUUCAUUUCCUCAUUAGACCCCUCAUGUUCAUUAAUGCAAUCCGUGAAAGAGGGAUUAGUAAUGAUGGUGGUUUUGAUGUUAGGGGUUACCUUGUUAGAGGCUUUGGCCAUGAGGCACUUGGCGGUGAUGUUCUCGUUGGGUGAAUCGAAGAGAGACAUCCGGGGAGUUGUGGCAAUGGCAACGGAUGCCAUGGCCAUUGCUUCACUAUCUUCAUCAUCAUCGUCAUCCUCACGGUAUUCUUCUUGAACCACCAACCCUCAAGUAGGAGUCUUUUUGGUGAAGUUGUUCUUGUUGGGGAAGGACUUGGCUUUGUCUUUUUGGAUGAGCUUGCCACCAUUGUCUUCCCGCUUCUCGUAAGGACAAUCCGCAAUGAAAUGGCUCACAUUGCCACAAUUGUAACAAGUUCUUACUCGUUGCUUGCCCUUGAAGCCACUUGAGUUGUUCUUGUUGAAAUUGGGCCUUGAGUUCUUCUUGCUCCAAAAUUGCCUUGAAGCAAGAGCCAUGUGCUCAUGAUAAUCAUAUUUUGUAUCUUCGGGGUUGCUCUCCUCAUCUUCCUCUUCUUCCUAUUCUUCCACAAUAACCUUGGCCUUCAAGGCAAGGUUGGGCUUCUUUACCCUUUGAGAGCGGAGCACCACGUUGUCGGCGGUCUUGUCCAAGAUGCUCAUUGCAACGAACUCAUCCAACACUUCACUUGAUGUCAUGGAGUGGAAGUCCGGUCUUUGACGAAUGACGGAGGACAUGGCCUUGUUGUAGGGCAUCAUGGCCUUGAGGAACUUACGCUUGAUCCAGUUGUCAUCCGUGUCCUUGCUCCCAUGAUCUCGGAGUGAGACCGCGAGUUUGGUUACUCUCCGAAAGAGCUCACGAGGUUCUUCAUCUUCUUUCAUUGCAAACUCAUAGGCUUCAUCUUGCACCACUUCAUAGUUGGAGCGUUGAACGCUUGCGCUUCCCCGAUAGAGAGACACAACGCAUUGCCAUGCGUCUUUGGCCAUGGCAUGGGGUCGGAGAUGAGGGAAAUCUUCGGGGAGGAUAGCAUCUUGGAUGAUGAAAAGAGCAUUCUCAUUGAAUUGAUUAUCCACGGCUUCUCUAGGGGUAAAGUUGCUUCGGUCAUGUGGAUAGAAACCUUCUUCAAUGAUUCUCCAAAGAUUAGUAUUCACAUGAUUUAAAUGACGCUUGAAGCGAUACACCCAAGAAUCAAAAUCCUCAUUUUUCAUAAUCUUAGGAGGAGGGCCGGCACGAUUUAAAUGAGUAGAGGGAAUCGGUCCUCCAUAAGUUGGAGGUUCCACAUGGGCAAAGAUGUCGGUGCCAUUUCUACCACUAGUAGAAGGACCCUUCUCACUAUUAGCUCCCCCCUUGUCGGAGUUAGCAUCCGUCACCUUGUUAGUGGGAUCACCCACUUUCAACGGCAAGGUAGGUAGUUUAAGUCCUUCUAAGAAUUUAUUAAACAUGCUUUCAACCUUGGUUGUCAUAGAGGUUUUCAAUGUGUCCAAGGCCACAUUGAAUUCCUCACGGGACACCGUGGUUUCCCCAUCACCCGUGGAUGAGAUCGGAUUCACACCGGAGUGCUCCUCCACACCGUCUACGGUGUCAACCAUACUCUUUGGACGGCAAAGUCCUUAAUAAAGAGAUGAGACUCUGAUACCAAUUGAAAGGAUCGAUAUAGUUGACUAGAGGGGGGGUGAAUAGGCAACUAGCAAUUUUUAGCUUUUCUUUACCAAAUUAAACUUUGCAUCAAAGUAGGUUGUCUAGAUAUGCAACUAAGUGAACAACCUAUAUGAUGCACCAACAACAAGCACACAAGCAAGCAAGGAAUAUAACACAAGUAAGCUUGCAACGGUAAAGGUACGAGGUAACCAAGAGUGGAGCCGGUGAAGACGAGGAUGUGUUACCGAAGUUCCUUCCUUUUGAGGGGAAGUACGUAUCCGUUAGAGCGGUGUGGAGGCACAAUGCUCCCCAAGAAGCCACUAGGGCCACCGUAUUCUCCUCACGCCCUCACACAAUGCGAGAUGCUGUGAUUCCACUAUUGGUGCCCUUGAAGGCGGCGACCGGACCUUUACAAACAAGGUUGGGGCAAUCUCCACAACUUAAUUGGAGGCUCCCAACGACACCACGAAGCUUCACCACAAUGUACUAUGGCUCCGAGGUCCUCAACCGUCUAGGGUGCUCAAACACCCAAGAGUAACAAGAUCCGCUAGGGAUUAGUGGGGGGAAUCAAAUUUCUCUUGGUGGAAGUGUAGAUCGGGGCCUUCUCAACCAAUCUCGAGCAAAUCAACAAGUUUGAUUGGCUAGGGAGAGAGAUCGGGCGAAAAUGGAGCUUGGAGCAACAAUGGAGCUUAGGGAUGGAAGAGGUAAGUCUUCUUGGAGAAUAAGACCCCCUUAUAUAGUGGGGGAACAAUUCCAACCGUUACCCACCACUCAGCCCUCGACCCGCGGUACUACCGCACCACUGGAGCGGUACUACCGCACGGGCCUGCGGUACUACCACGGCGGACCGCGAUACUACCGUGGGCGCGGCAGAGCCUGGACCUGAACAGAAGAGCAUAGACAGGGCGCGGUAAAACCGCAGGCGCGGUACUACCGCGACCGUAUGCGGUACUACCGCAGGGCAGCCGCAGUCCAGACACGCUAGGCACAGAUGUAAAAAAUUACAUCCGUGACUACCUCCGCUGAGAUUUUAUCGAUGCGAAAAUCCGACACGGUACUACCGCGAACCAGGGGUGCGGUACUACCGUGAAGGGUGCGGAUGUAAAAAAUUACAUCCGCCCCUACCUCCGCUCCUGCUGUUGUACCUGGCCAGGCGACACGGUACUACCGUGCUGGAGGGUACUACCAUGUAGGGCACGGAUGUAAAAAAUUACAUCCGCCCCUACUACCGCUUGUGCAGCAGCGCCAGGCCAGAACUCACGGUACUACCGCUUAGAAGGAGCGGUACUACCGUGGAGGCCCACGGUACUACCGUGCCGGAGCCCGGUACUACCGCUGGCUCCUGCGGUAGUACCGCUCAGAGGAGCAGUACUACCGCCAGCCUGAGAAGAGCAACUCAGAGUCCUUCAUUUCGCAGAGACAAGGUGAGACGGAGGAAACUCCAAAGAGCCAAAGGAAAGGCGGUGCAAAAGGGACAUGUACGUCAAAUUCCAACCAAACCUUUCCAAAGCGGACCCCCUCUUAAUAGUACGGCUUUCCUACGACUCAACUCCACCGAAAAGAACCGUAGAGAAACGACGUCUUCAAUAAUCUUCGAGGGGCAUCAAAUCAUCUUGUGUUUAGUCAUGAUAUAUCUAAAAAGCUCAAUACACACGAUUAGUCCGCAAAAGCAUUGUCAUCAAUCACCAAAACUACUAAGGAACAAGAAUGCCCUUACACUUACCUUUUCUGCAACAGAAGGCUGGACCUUCAUAGUGGAACAUCAUUGCUCCACAAUGGAUACAGUCUUAUACUAGCUUCAAAACAUGAUGCUUGGUGGGUAGAUUGUGGUAGACACAGUCGUAAGGAUCAUGAGUCUCAAGCCUAUGUGAACCAUCAGUUGUCACUCAGUAUGGUUCGAAGUCAUCACCUGGAAAGUCACAAGCAAGAGUUAAUUAUGUGCUCACACCAAAAGAUGGACUGCAAUAGUAAUGAAUUACUCUAACCUUGUGCACUAAAUAUCCUAAAUUCAUCAUCAUUAUAGCUGGUUUCUCCUUCUUGAAGCGUGUUCAAGAAUUCUAUGUGAAGGACAACCUCAGAAUCAGCUAAACAUAUUCACAUUGGGUAAUAUUAAAUUAAGCGAUAAGGAAAUACAAUACACAUUCACUCCCAGCAGUCUGCCCCACAGGCUCAAAAAUUCCGUGUGCAUCGGAGUCCUCUUCAUUGUUGCUGCCUCCUGGAAGAUUUAUCAAUACCACCCCAAAAGAGCAAAUAUAUAGUUGUCAAUUGAAGCAGCGCAUACAAAAUGUGAAUAUCAAAAUUGUACCGAACUACCUAUAUGGUUAUUUUCACACGCUGGAUUUGGUUUCACCAUCUUGUACGCAUGAUUCUCACACAACAAGGACUCUCUCUGUUGCAUUUCCUUUUCUGAGCAUUUUUUUCCUUUUACGAAGGCAAUCCUUCUCAUGGUAUGCAUCUGAAACAAUAUAAUGUAUAGGAGACUCAUGAACUCAAAAGGACAUCAUAAUGUAAAGUAGAUGAUAUGCUAUACCUAAUGGUUCAAUGGAGCGUACGGAGAUAAAACUUAUGGGAAUAGAGCUACCUUCGACAUGUUUCGCCGACAUCGCUCGCCGUAUGUAAGUUGGAUUACUGUGCAACCAAUCAUCUGAACCGUCUACCUCCAAAUUUGACCCGCUGUCGGUUGGAGUUGCAUGCACCCGUGUAAUUUCAGAUAGGGCUGAUCCAUCUUGAGCGUGUGUAUGACAGAAGUAGAAACACGUGUGAUGACACAUCUAAUGAUAGACUUAAAAGAAAGUUAGAUGCACGUUCGCACAUCACCUUCAUUACCAUUUUGUUUGCUGCAUUGUCCUACUAUUUCCUGCAACUGAUGUUCACGGCCACCAUAGUUUGCUCAACCAGAGGUAUGAGCUGAUAAAGAACAGACACAUAACAGAGCAUCAACCCAUAAUUCGAGAUGAAAAGGUAACAUGUUGGUCGUCUAACCCGAUGAAGCUUGUGGGGCAGAUGGUGUAGGCACUUGGACAUUCACCCUAACAGAGGCAACUAUCCGUGUGAGUCGGGCCAUCUUCUGUUUGUUUAUGUACUCAGCGCGCCGCUCGUCAGAUAGCCCAGCAUACCAAAUUUGUCCACUUCUUUUCUUGCCUGAAAUAUUGUCUUGAUGAAGAUGAACAGUACCCGCGGAGCUUGCGGUCGUACAUACCAUAACGGACAUGCGGAUGUGAGGAUUCAGAUAUGUGUAAAUGAUGCAUGAAUGCAUUAGGACACGAAAUGGAAUCACAUACCAUCUAUAUGUGUGUUGGUGAUGUUGGUCAAAGGGAUACAUUGCUCAGACCCUACAGAAGAAGCACGUGCCUCUGAUUCCUGGGCAUGGUUUAGACUUCGUAUGGCUGCAGCCUUCUUCUGUUGUCGGGCGACACGACACUUCUCGAGGAUCUCUUCUUUCUUGUCAUCAGACCAUCUGGUGUACCAUGAUUGGCCACUUUUCUUUUGAGCAGCAGAACUACUCUCUGCAUUUCCAUUUAAAGGUGAGUUUGUUACGUCCCGUAAUGGGGAACGUUCCCCUGAGGCAAACCGAUGUGCAUCUCGAAUAUCAUCUUGAAUAUUCUUGCCCAUCUGCAUUUUGAAAACACAAAUGAUGGAGAGACUAGAACAAACAAAUGUACAGGACCAUAGUUUCCAUGUAUUUCAACUUCCAUCUAUUGUACUGUGCAUUAAGAGUUGCAACUUCCAUCUAUUUCUGACCUUAGUUUCCAUCUAUUUAUUUAUUUAUUUUUUCACUUCCAUCUAUUUAUGUAUAAAGCUGAGAAUUGCGAAAGUAGGUGGACCAAGAAACGGAUCAUCAAUAGUCAAUAGGAGGUGAUCUCAAAGUUUGUUUGACAUCAAGGAGAGACACUGGAACAAAAAAAUGUACAGGACCAUAAUUUCCAUGUAUUUCAACUUCCAUCUAUUGUAUUAUGCAUUAAGAAUUGCAACUUCCAUCUAUUUCUGACCUUAGUUUCCAUCUAAUUAUUUUUUCACUUCCAUCUAUUUAGGUAUAAAGAUGAGAAUUUGUGAAAGUAGGUGGACCAAGAAACGGAUCAUCAAUAGUCAACGGGAGGUGAUCUCAAAGUUUGUUUGACAUGAAGCACUCACUCACCUUUGCAACAUGAGGUUAUACUUGUCUAUCUUUUUGAACAAUUUUCAUCUGACCUUGCCAGCUACAUACAGUAUACAGAGAAAAAACCAGGUGCUGAGAUGUUUUGAAUCCGUAUAUCAAGAACAUUUGUAGUUUACAAGAUCACCAAGUUUAAUCCGGAAGUACAUAGAAUGCGUUGGACUGACAAUCCUCGCAUCACUGUUGGUACAAGGCGAUAGAAUGUGUGAACUACAACAUAAACAACCGAAACUGAACUUUGCAGGGGUGCAGCUCGGCGACGACGUGCCGUAGACGCCUCGGCGAGCAAAACCGUGCCGCGCCCGGUGGCAGUGAAGCAGACAGCGCGCAGGUCUCCGGCAGCCUCUGGCAGCAGAAGGAAAACGUCGCGGCGAGCAGAACCGUGUCGCACCCAGAGGUAGUGAAGCGGACGGCCGCGCAGAUCUCCGGCAGCCUCUGGCAGCAGAAGGAAAACGUCGCGGCGAGCAGAACCGUGUCGCACCCAGAGGUAGUGAAGCGGACG
rnacentral:lncRNA from 1 species